rnacentral:rRNA from 1 species
GACGCACGCUGGCGGCGUGCUUAACACAUGCAAGUCGAGCGAUGAAGCACCUUCGGGUGUGAAUUAGCGGCGAACGGGUGAGGAACACGCGAGAAAUCUGCCUUCAACUCUGGGAUAACUCCGUGAAAACGGGGCAAAUACCGGAUAUGAAACCUGCGGGCAUCCGCGGGUUUGGAAAAGUUUUCGGUUGAAGAUGAUCUCGCGGCCCAUUAGCUUGGUGGUGAGGUAAUGGCUCACCAAGGCGACGACGGGUAGCCGGCCUGAGAGGGCGACCGGCCACACUGGGACUGAGACACGGCCCAGACUCCUACGGGAUGCAGCAGUGGGGAAUAUUGGGCAAGGGAGGAAACUCUGACCCAGCGACGCCGCGUGCGGGAUGAAGGCCUUCGUGUUGUAAACCGCUUUCAGCAGGGAAGAAGCGAAAGUGACGGUACCUGCAGAAGAAGCACCGGCUAACUAUGUGCCAGCCGCCGCGGUAA